GAUGAAGAACGUAGCGAAAUGCGAUACGUAAUGUGAAUUGCAGAAUUCAGUGAAUCAUCGAAUCUUUGAACGCACAUUGCGCUCUCUGGUAUUCCGGAGAGCAUGCUUGUUUGAGUAUCAGUAAACACCUCAACUCCUUUAUUGUAGUUGGACUUGAGCUAUCCCAACGGGACUUUUUGUUCCUGGCGGGAGGCUUGAAAUGCAGGUGCAGCUGGACUUUCUUCUGAGCUAUAAGCAUAUUUAUUUAAUCCCUUAACACGGAUUAUUACUUUUUUGCUGCAGCUAACAUAAAGGUUGAAUUUCCAUUGAGCUGACUGAUGCAGGAAUUUGGCAAGGAAUUUUUUUAAUGACUUGUUAAACUCGAUCUCAAAUCAAGUAAGACUACCCGCUGAACUUAAGCAUAUCAAUAAGCGGAGGA
rnacentral:misc_RNA from 1 species